GACGAACGCUGGCGGCGUGCUUAACACAUGCAAGUCGAACGGUAAGGCCCUUCGGGGUACACGAGUGGCGAACGGGUGAGUAACACGUGGGUGAUCUGCCCUGCACUUCGGGAUAAGCCUGGGAAACUGGGUCUAAUACCGGAUAGGACCACUGCCUGCAUGGGUGGUGGUGGAAAGCUUUUGCGGUGUGGGAUGGGCCCGCGGCCUAUCAGCUUGUUGGUGGGGUGAUGGCCUACCAAGGCGACGACGGGUAGCCGGCCUGCGAGGGUGACCGGCCACAGUGGGACUGAGAUACGGCCCAGACUCCUACGGAGGCAGCAGUGGGGAAGAUUGCACAAUGGGCGCAAGCCUGAUGCAGCGACGCCGCGUGAGGGAUGACGGCCUUCGGGUUGUAAACCUCUUUCAGCACCGACGAAGCGCAAGUGACGGUAGGUGCAGAAGAAGGACCGGCCAACUACGUGCCAGCCGCCGCAGUAAAAC
rnacentral:rRNA from 1 species